rnacentral:tRNA from 2 species
GGAUAGUUGGCCGAGAGGUUAAAGGCAUCCGGUUGCUAACUGGGCGAGUCGCAAGGCUCCGCAGGUUCGAAUCCUGCACUAUCCGCCA